UUAAAUUGAAGAGUUUGAUCAUGGCUCAGAUUGAACGCUGGCGGCAGGCCUAACACAUGCAAGUCGAACGGUAACAGGAAGCAGCUUGCUGCUUCGCUGACGAGUGGCGGACGGGUGAGUAAUGUCUGGGAAACUGCCUGAUGGAGGGGGAUAACUACUGGAAACGGUGGCUAAUACCGCAUAACGUCGCAAGACCAAAGAGGGGGACCUUCGGGCCUCUUGCCAUCAGAUGUGCCCAGAUGGGAUUAGCUUGUUGGUGAGGUAACGGCUCACCAAGGCGACGAUCCCUAGCUGGUCUGAGAGGAUGACCAGCCACACUGGAACUGAGACACGGUCCAGACUCCUACGGGAGGCAGCAGUGGGGAAUAUUGCACAAUGGGCGCAAGCCUGAUGCAGCCAUGCCGCGUGUAUGAAGAAGGCCUUCGGGUUGUAAAGUACUUUCAGCGGGGAGGAAGGUGUUGUGGUUAAUAAGCACAGCAAUUGACGUUACCCGCAGAAGAAGCACCGGCUAACUCCGUGCCAGCAGCCGCGGUAAUACGGAGGGUGCAAGCGUUAAUCGGAAUUACUGGGCGUAAAGCGCACGCAGGCGGUCUGUCAAGUCGGAUGUGAAAUCCCCGGGCUCAACCUGGGAACUGCAUUCGAAACUGGCAGGCUUGAGUCUUGUAGAGGGGGGUAGAAUUCCAGGUGUAGCGGUGAAAUGCGUAGAGAUCUGGAGGAAUACCGGUGGCGAAGGCGGCCCCCUGGACAAAGACUGACGCUCAGGUGCGAAAGCGUGGGGAGCAAACAGGAUUAGAUACCCUGGUAGUCCACGCCGUAAACGAUGUCUACUUGGAGGUUGUGCCCUUGAGGCGUGGCUUCCGGAGCUAACGCGUUAAGUAGACCGCCUGGGGAGUACGGCCGCAAGGUUAAAACUCAAAUGAAUUGACGGGGGCCCGCACAAGCGGUGGAGCAUGUGGUUUAAUUCGAUGCAACGCGAAGAACCUUACCUGGUCUUGACAUCCACAGAACUUUCCAGAGAUGGAUUGGUGCCUUCGGGAACUGUGAGACAGGUGCUGCAUGGCUGUCGUCAGCUCGUGUUGUGAAAUGUUGGGUUAAGUCCCGCAACGAGCGCAACCCUUAUCCUUUGUUGCCAGCGGUUAGGCCGGGAACUCAAAGGAGACUGCCAGUGAUAAACUGGAGGAAGGUGGGGAUGACGUCAAGUCAUCAUGGCCCUUACGACCAGGGCUACACACGUGCUACAAUGGCGCAUACAAAGAGAAGCGACCUCGCGAGAGCAAGCGGACCUCAUAAAGUGCGUCGUAGUCCGGAUUGGAGUCUGCAACUCGACUCCAUGAAGUCGGAAUCGCUAGUAAUCGUGGAUCAGAAUGCCACGGUGAAUACGUUCCCGGGCCUUGUACACACCGCCCGUCACACCAUGGGAGUGGGUUGCAAAAGAAGUAGGUAGCUUAACCUUCGGGAGGGCGCUUACCACUUUGUGAUUCAUGACUGGGGUGAAGUCGUAACAAGGUAACCGUAGGGGAACCUGCGGUUGGAUCACCUCCUUACCUUAAAGAAGC
rnacentral:rRNA from 1 species